rnacentral:rRNA from 1 species
CGGGCGACCGGCGCGACGGUGAGUAACGCGUAUGCAACUUACCUAUCAGGAGGGGAGUAACCCGGCGAAAGUCGGACUAAUACCGCAUGAAGCAGGGGCCCCGCAUGGGGAUAUUUGCUAAAGAUUCAUCGCUGAUAGAUAGGCAUGCGUUCCAUUAGGCAGUUGGCGGGGUAACGGCCCACCAAACCGACGAUGGAUAGGGGUUCUGAGAGGAAGGUCCCCCACAUUGGUACUGAGACACGGACCAAACUCCUACGGAAGGCAGCAG